GUUAAGGUUCGCUAUACGCGAUUAAAAAGGGAAUGGGGUGAGAAUCUCCAACUGUCUCGCAGCUGUAAGUUCCUUUAUUGACCGCAAGCAAUAACCACUGUUCACAUGAACGGGAAGGUGCUUGUAGGUGGAAUAAGUCAGAAGACCUGCCUCAUAUA
rnacentral:ncRNA from 1 species